CACGGGUGCGUAACACGUAUGCAACCUACCUUAUACUGGGGAAUAACUUCGAGAAAUCGGCGCUAAUACCCCAUAACAUUGCGAAGAGGCAUCUCUUUGCACUUAAAGCUCCGGCGGUAUAAGAUGGGCAUGCGCCCAAUUAGCUAGUUGGUGAGGUAAUGGCUCACCAAGGCUACGAUUGGUAGGGGUUCUGAGAGGAUGAUCCCCCACACUGGUACUGAGACACGGACCAGACUCCUACGGGAGGCAGCAGUGAGGAAUAUUGCGCAAUGGACGAAAGUCUGACGCAGCCAUGCCGCGUGCAGGAUGACGGCCCUAUGGGUUGUAAACUGCUUUUGUAUGGGAAUAAACCCUUCUACGUGUAGAAGGCUGAAGGUACCAUAAGAAUAAACACCGGCUAACUCCGUGCCAGCAGCCGCGGUAAUACAGAGGGUGCAAGCGUUAUCCGGAUUUAUUGGGUUUAAAGGGUCCGUAAGCGGGCCGAUAAGUCAGUGGUGAAAGCCCAUAGCUCAACUAUGGAACUGCCAUUGAA
rnacentral:rRNA from 1 species